rnacentral:rRNA from 2 species
CACUAGCGCGGUGGUCCCACCUGACCCCAUGCCGAACUCAGAAGUGAAACGCCGUAGCGCCGAUGGUAGUGUGGGG